rnacentral:rRNA from 1 species
AAGCCCGCAAGGGUAAGUAGAGUGGCGCACGGGUGAGUAACACGUGGACAACCUGCCUUCGAGUGGGGAAUAACCUUCCGAAAGGAGGGCUAAUACCGCAUAACACCUCGGGACACAAGUUCUGGGGUUGAAAAGAGCAAUUUGCUCGAAGAGGGGUCCGCGCCUGAUUAGCUAGUUGGUGAGGUAACGGCUCACCAAGGCUUCGAUCAGUAGCCGUCCUGAGAGGGAGCACGGCCACACUGGAACUGAGACACGGUCCAGACUCCUACGGGAGGCAGCAGUGGGGAAUUUUUGGCAAUGGGCGAAAGCCUGACCAAGCAACGCCGCGUGGGUGAUGAAGUAUCUUGGU